rnacentral:lncRNA from 1 species
GAUCUAAUAAUUUAAAAAAUUUAAUUUAUAAAUUAAGAGAAGAGAAGAGAUCAAUCAGUAAAUCACAAUUCUCUCACUGACUUCACCAAGUCAUUGAAUUAGAUUAGGGUCAUGCUGGUUGAAAUGGCACCUAGAACAAUUACACUGAUCAACCUUAAUGGUAUGGGUUAACUCAAAUCACUUAGCAGUCUAAUCAAGAUAUAUCCAUCAAAUUGGCUAGAUAAGUG